UAAACGGAAGAGAUGCACAGAGCAUGGUGUCCGGGAAGGGGGAGAAGCUUCCAUGCCUUCUCUGAGUGGAUUCCCCUCCCAGUACCUCAACGUGUUCACCAACUCAGAAUCUCGCUGAACUCCAUUGUUUAGGAUUUUCUUGGAGGUUCCGUUAUGAAGAAUCUUAUUCAUCCAGACAGAAGAGGAGAACAAGCCUCGGAGCACCCCCAGGAGCUCUCCUGAAGCCGCCAGGAAUGGAGGAGCUCGCUUGGAAUCAGAGGCCCGUGUUCCCAACCCAGGGCUGCCCCUGCUGGAGAUGUGACCUCGGGCAGGCGCACUGGGAAGCCUCUGGAAGCCCCGGCCUGCAUGCGUGGAAGGGGCUGAAGACCCUCCAGCACCCACAGGAGGAUCUGCUGCGUCAGCCCAGGUGCCAGCCAGGGAAGGCUCUUGCAGAACUGGAGGCAUCCACAGGCUGUCUUCCGCACCUGAAAAAGGCCCUCGUGGGGGGGCUUCGCUGGCUCUGCCACUGCCUCUCCAUCCUUGAGUGACUUCUUAAGCCCACACCCAGGCUUCCAGGGCUCCUCUGAGAGCCCCCUGAAUGCAGGCGAGCUCCUCUAGUCACCCCUCUCUCUUGCCCUUCUUUAUUCCUCCAUGCCAGUUUACGCGCUCCCCAAAACAAAUCUUACCCUUUCACUGUUGACCUUAGUGGCCCUUGAGUCCAGAGCCACUGAAAUUCUGUAUUGGUUCCUCUUCCCUCCAGGACAAGGAGAGCUUAACUUCCUAUGUUAUGAGGCAGGGGAUAAUUACAUGCCAUCCUUCCAGCAGAGCAAAGAAAAUAAUUAAAAAAAAAAAGUUUCACAUUAAAACAGGCAGAACAUUUCUAUUCUGCCAUUAUUUUAAUUCAUUGACUUUUUUUUUAAGCACCUACUGUAUGCCUGCUCAACGAGCUGGGCUCUGAUAAGCGAGCUCAACCCCUCCCUGAGUGCGCUGGGAAGAGUGCCGCCCAGUAAGGGAGCUCUGAGCAGUUAGGGUGGCAGCCAGUGGUGUGGACACGUGGGGCCCAGGCCAGCAGCCCAGGAUCAGACAUUCACAUGUCCUCAGGAAGUCACUGGGUAUCAGGCCUUGGGCUGGUCAGAAGUGGGACUAGAGACAGAGCAGGGUGUCCUACAAGGAAGCUGGCGGCAGGAGGACCUCAGGGCAGUCCGGACCAGCUCAUGCUUGGGGGCUGCUUCAGGGGAGCCUUUUGGCUGGGCCAAGGGGGCUGGCUAGGAGGACUUGGACAGAAGGAUGGGUCCAAAGGGCUCUGGGGUUCAAGAGAGCACC